GAUGAACGCUGGCGGUAUGCCUAACACAUGCAAGUCGAACGAGCUCUUCGGAGCUAGUGGCGGACGGGUGAGUAACGCGUGAGAAUCUGCCUUCAGGAUGGGGACAACAGUUGGAAACGAUUGCUAAAACCUAAUGUGCCGCAAGGUGAAAUAUUAAUAGCCUGAAGAGGAGCUCGCGUCCGAUUAGUUAGUUGGUGGGGUAAAGGCCUACCAAGGCAGCGAUCGGUUGCUGGUCUGAGAGGAUGAGCAGCCACACUGGGACUGAGACACGGCCCAGACUCCUACGGGAGGCAGCAGUGGGGAAAUUUCCGCAAUGGGCGAAAGCCUGACGGAGCAAUACCGCGUGAGGGAGGAAGGUUUUUGGAUUGUAAACCUCUUUUGUUAAGGAAGAAGAAAGUGACGGUACUUAACGAAUAAGCAUCGGCUAACUCCGUGCCAGCCGCCGCAGUAA
rnacentral:rRNA from 1 species